UGGGGAAUAUUGCACAAUGGAGGGAACUCUGAUGCAGCGACGCCGCGUGAGUGAUGAAGGAAUUCGUUUCGUAAAACUCUGUUCUAUGGGAAGAAAAGGACUGUACCAUAGGAGAAAGCUCCGGCUAAAUACGUGCCAGCAGCCGCGGUAAUACGUAUGGAGCGAGCGUUGUCCGGAAUUAUUGGGCGUAAAGGGUGCGCAGGCGGCUUUACAAGUUGGAUGUGAAAUAUUGUGGCUCAACCACAAACGUGCAUCCAAAACUGCAAAGCUUGAGUUAAGGAGAGGUAAGUGGAAUUCCUGGUGUAGGGGUGGAAUGCGUAGAUAUCAGGAGGAAUACCGGUGGCGAAGGCGACUUACUGGACUUAAACUGACGCUCAGGCACGAAAGCGUGGGGAGCAAACAGG
rnacentral:rRNA from 1 species